AAACUCAAAGGAAUUGACGGGGACCCGCACAAGCAGCGGAGCGUGUGGUUUAAUUCGUUGCUACACGAAGAACCUUACCUGGGUUUGACAUAUAGGUUGUAGGGAACUGAAAGGGACCGACCCUUCGGGGAGCCUAUACAGGUGUUGCAUGGCUGUCGUCAGCUCGUGUCGUGAGAUGUUCGGUUAAGUCCGCUAACGAGCGCAACCCUCGUCGUAUGUUAUAUGUGUCAUACGAGACUGCCGGUAAAAAGCCGGAGGAAGGUGAGGAUGAUGUCAAGUCAGCAUGACCUUUAUAUCCAGGGCUACACACACGCUACAAUGGUCUGUACAAUGGGUAGCCAAGCCGCGAGGCGGAGCCAAUCCUGAAAGCAGGCCUCAGUUCAGAUUGCAGUCUGCAACUCGACUGCAUGAAGCCGGAGUUGCUAGUAACCGCAGGUCAGCAAUACUGCGGUGAAUACGUUCCCGGGUCUU
rnacentral:rRNA from 1 species